GACGAACGCUGGCGGCGCGCCUCAUACAUACAAGUCGAACGAGAAGCCCGGGCUUGCCCGGGUGGAGAGUGGCGAACGGGUGAGGAACACGUGAGGAACCUGCCCCGAAGACUGGGAUAACACCGGGAAACCGGUGCUAAUACCGGAUGCCCUCACCGGACCGCAUGAUCCGGUGAGGAAAUGGAUUCCGCUUCGGGAUGGCCGCGCGGCCUAUCAGCUUGUUGGUGGGGUAAUGGCCCACCAAGGCUUCGACGGGUAGCUGGUCUGAGAGGAUGGCCAGCCACACUGGGACUGAGACACGGCCCAGACUCCUACGGGAGGCAGCAGUAGGGAAUCUUGCGCAAUGAGCGAAAGCUUGACGCAGCGACGCCGCGUGCGGGAUGAAGGCCCUCGGGUCGUAAACCGCUUUCAGCAGGGACGAAACUGACGGUACCUGCAGAAGAAGGCCCGGCCAACUACGUGCCAGCCGCCGCUGUAAGAC
rnacentral:rRNA from 1 species